GACGAACGCUGGCGGCGUGCUUAACACAUGCAAGUCGAACGAUGAACUUGGAGCUUGCUCUGGGGGAUUAGUGGCGAACGGGUGAGUAACACGUGAGUAACCUGCCCUGGACUCUGGGAUAACUUCGAGAAAUCGGAGCUAAUACCGGAUAGGACCUUGCACCGCAUGGUGUGGGGUGGAAAGUUUUUCGGUUUGGGAUGGACUCGCGGCCUAUCAGCUUGUUGGUGAGGUAAUGGCUCACCAAGGCGUCGACGGGUAGCCGGCCUGGGAGGGUGACCGGCCACACUGGGACUGAGACACGGCCCAGACUCCUACGGGAGGCAGCAGUGGGGAAUAUUGCACAAUGGCGCAAGCCUGAUGCAGCAACGCCGCGUGCGGGAUGACGGCCUUCGGGUUGUAAACCGCUUUUAGUAGGGAAGAAGCCUUCGGGUGACGGUACCUGCAGAAAAAGGACCGGCUAACUACGUGCCAGCAGCCGCCGUAACAC
rnacentral:rRNA from 1 species